UACGGGGGGGGGCAAGCGUUUGUCCGGAAUUAUUGGGCGUAAAGAGCUCGUAGGCGGCUUGUCGCGUCGGAUGUGAAAGCCCGGGGCUUAACCCCGGGUCUGCAUUCGAUACGGGCAGGCUAGAGUUCGGUAGGGGAGAUCGGAAUUCCUGGUGUAGCGGUGAAAUGCGCAGAUAUCAGGAGGAACACCGGUGGCGAAGGCGGAUCUCUGGGCCUUACCUGACGCUCAGGCGCGAAAGCUAGGGGAGCGAACAGG
rnacentral:rRNA from 1 species